rnacentral:rRNA from 1 species
CACGUAGGGCGCAAGCGUUGUCCGGAAUUAUUGGGCGUAAAGAGCUCGUAGGCGGUCUGUUGCGUCCGCUGUGAAAACUCGGGGCUUAACCCCGAGCCUGCAGUGGAUACGGGCAGACUAGAGGUAGGUAGGGGAGAAUGGAAUUCCCGGUGUAGCGGUGAAAUGCGCAGAUAUCGGGAGGAACACCGGUGGCGAAGCGGGUCUCUGGGCAGUAACUGACGCUGAGGAGCGAAAGCGUGGGGAGCGAACAGG